rnacentral:rRNA from 1 species
AAGGCUUGACAUACACCGGAAACUUCCAGAGAUGGUUGCCCCGCAAGGUCGGUGUACAGGUGGUGCAUGGUUGUCGUCAGCUCGUGUCGUGAGAUGUUGGGUUAAGUCCCGCAACGAGCGCAACCCUCGUCCCAUGUUGCCAGCGGGUUAUGCCGGGGACUCAUGGGAGACUGCCGGGGUCAACUCGGAGGAAGGUGGGGAUGGACGUCGAAAUCAUCAUGCCCCUUAUGUCUUGGGCUUCACG